rnacentral:rRNA from 1 species
AUUGAACGCUGGCGGCAUGCUUUACACAUGCAAGUCGAACGGUAACAGGCCGCAAGGUGCCGACGAGUGGCGAACGGGUGAGUAAUGCAUCGGAACGUGCCCAGUCGUGGGGGAUAACUACUCGAAAGAGUAGCUAAUACCGCAUACGAUCUAUGGAUGAAAGCGGGGGACCGUAAGGCCUCGCGCGAUUGGAGCGGCCGAUGUCAGAUUAGGUAGUUGGUGGGGUAAAGGCUCACCAAGCCAACGAUCUGUAGCUGGUCUGAGAGGACAACCAGCCACACUGGGACUGAGACACGGCCCAGACUCCUACGGGAGGCAGCAGUGGGGAAUUUUGGACAAUGGGCGCAAGCCUGAUCCAGCAAUGCCGCGUGCAGGAAGAAGGCCUUCGGGUUGUAAACUGCUUUUGUACGGAACGAAACGGCUCUGGUUAAUACCCGGGGCUAAUGACGGUACCGUAAGAAUAAGCACCGGCUAACUACGUG